UGGGGAAUUUUGGACAAUGGGCGAAAGCCUGAUCCAGCAAUGCCGCGUGUGUGAAGAAGGCCUUCGGGUUGUAAAGCACUUUUGUCCGGAAAGAAAUCCUUGGCUCUAAUACAGUCGGGGGAUGACGGUACCGGAAGAAUAAGCACCGGCUAACUACGUGCCAGAGCCGCGGUAAUACGUAGGGUGCAAGCGUUAAUCGGAAUUACUGGGCGUAAAGCGUGCGCAGGCGGUUUGCUAAGACCGAUGUGAAAUCCCCGGGCUCAACCUGGGAACUGCAUUGGUGACUGGCAGGCUAGAGUAUGGCAGAGGGGGGUAGAAUUCCACGUGUAGCAGUGAAAUGCGUAGAGAUGUGGAGGAAUACCGAUGGCGAAGGCAGCCCCCUGGGCCAAUACUGACGCUCAUGCACGAAAGCGUGGGGAGCAAAACAGGAUUAGAUACCCUGGUAGUCCACGCCCUAAAACGAUGUCAACUAGUUGUUGGGGAUUCAUUUCCUUAGUAACGUAGCUAACGCGUGAAGUUGACCGCCUGGGGGAGUACGGUCGCAAGAUUAAAA
rnacentral:rRNA from 1 species